GAUGAAGAACGUAGCGAAAUGCGAUAAGUAAUGUGAAUUGCAGAAUUCAGUGAAUCAUCGAAUCUUUGAACGCAUCUUGCGCUCCUUGGUAUUCUGAGGAGCAUGCCUGUUUGAGUGUCAUUAAAUUCUCAACUACACUGACUUUGAAUUGGUGUGGCUUCGAUUUGGGGGGAAAAUUGUUGUGGGCUUUUUGUAUAGUCUGCUCCCCUGAAAUUGAUUAGCGGUACCUUUGUGGAACUGUCUACAGGUGUGAUAAUUAUCUACAUCUUAGACAUCUGCUGGAAUGCUGCUUUCUAAACCUUACUUGUAUUGACAAUCUUGACCUCAAAUCAGGUAGGACUACCCGCUGAACUUAAGCAUAUCAAUAAGCGGAGGA
rnacentral:misc_RNA from 1 species